GACGAACGCUGGCGGCGUGCUUAACACAUGCAAGUCGAACGGAAAGGCCCUGCUUUUGUGGGGUGCUCGAGUGGCGAACGGGUGAGUAACACGUGAGUAACCUGCCCUUGACUUUGGGAUAACUUCAGGAAACUGGGGCUAAUACCGGAUAGGAGCUCCUGCUGCAGGGUGGGGGUUGGAAAGUUUCGGCGGUUGGGGAUGGACUCGCGGCUUAUCAGCUUGUUGGUGGGGUAGUGGCUGACCAAGGCUUUGACGGGUAGCCGGCCUGAGAGGGUGACCGGCCACAUUGGGACUGCGAUACGGCCCAGCCUCCUACGGGAGGCAGCAGUGGGGAAUAUUGCACAAUGGGCGGAAGCCUGAUGCAGCAACGCCGCGUGCGGGAUGACGGCCUUCGGGUUGUAAACCGCUUUCGCCUGUGACGAAGCGUGAGUGACGGUAAUGGGUAAAGAAGCACCGGCUAACUACGUG
rnacentral:rRNA from 1 species